rnacentral:rRNA from 1 species
GUAGCAGGGGGGGGGUGCUACACAUGCAGUCGAACGAUGAAGCCUAGCUUGCUGGGUGGAUUAGUGGCGAACGGGUGAGUAACACGUGAGCAACCUGCCCCUGACUCUGGGAUAAGCGCUGGAAACGGCGUCUAAUACUGGAUAUGUCCCAUCACCGCAUGGUGUGUGGGUGGAAAGAUUUUUCGGUUGGGGAUGGGCUCGCGGCCUAUCAGCUUGUUGGUGAGGUAAUGGCUCACCAAGGCGUCGACGGGUAGCCGGCCUGAGAGGGUGACCGGCCACACUGGGACUGAGACACGGCCCAGACUCCUACGGGAGGCAGCAGUGGGGAAUAUUGCACAAUGGGCGGAAGCCUGAUGCAGCAACGCCGCGUGAGGGAUGACGGCCUUCGGGUUGUAAACCUCUUUUAGCAGGGAAGAAGCGAGAGUGACGGUACCUGCAGAAAAAGCACCGGCUAACUACGUGCCAGCAGCCGCGGUAAU